UACGGAGGGGACUAGCGUUGUUCGGAAUUACUGGGCGUAAAGCGCGCGUAGGCGGAUUUGUAAGUCGGGGGUGAAAUCCCGGGGCUCAACCUCGGAACUGCCUUCGAUACUGCAAAUCUCGAGUCCGGAAGAGGUGAGUGGAAUUCCGAGUGUAGAGGUGAAAUUCGUAGAUAUUCGGAGGAACACCAGUGGCAAAGGCGGCUCACUGGUCCAUUACUGACGCUGAGGUGCGAAAAGCGUGGGGAGCAAACAGG
rnacentral:rRNA from 1 species